GACGGAGGAUGCAAGCGUUAUCCGGAAUGAUUGGGCGUAAAGCGUCCGCAGGUGGCAGUUCAAGUCUGCUGUCAAAGACCGGGGCUUAACUUCGGAAAGGCAGUGGAAACUGAACAGCUAGAGUAUGGUAGGGGCAGAGGGAAUUCCUGGUGUAGCGGUGAAAUGCGUAGAUAUCUGGAGGAAUACCGGUGGCGAAGGCGACAUCCUGGACCGGUAUUGACGCUGAGGCGCGAAAGCCAGGGGAGCAAACGGG
rnacentral:rRNA from 1 species